GUGGAUUAGAUACCCUGGUAGUCCACACCCUAAACGAUGUACGUUGGCUUAACGCAGGAUGCUGUGUUGGGCGAAGCUAACGCGAUAAACGUACCGCCUGGGAAGUACGGCCGCAAGGUUGAAACUCAAAGAAAUUGACGGGGGCCCGCACAAGCGGUGGAGCAUGUGGUUUAAUUCGAAGCAACGCGAAGAACCUUACCAGGUCUUGACAUCCUAGGAACCCCUGAGAGAUCAGGGGGUGCCCUUCGGGGAGCCUAGAGACAGGUGCUGCACGGUUGUCGACAACU
rnacentral:rRNA from 1 species